UACGUAGGGUCCGAGCGUUGUCCGGAAUUAUUGGGCGUAAAGGGCUCGUAGGUGGUCCGUCACGUCGGGAGUGAAAACUCGGGGCUCAACCCCGAGCCUGCUUUCGAUACGGGCAGGCUAGAGUUCGGUAGGGGGAGACUGGAAUUCCUGGUGUAGCGGUGAAAUGCGCAGAGUAUCAGGAGGAACACCGGUGGCGAAGGCGGGUCUCUGGGCCGAUACUGACGCUGAGGAGCGAAAGCGUGGGGAGCGAACAGG
rnacentral:rRNA from 1 species